CUUUUCCCUUAUCCACAUAUCUCCUCCGCCACUCUCCCUCCCUCCUCGUAAGCCGCCGCACUGCAUCUCGCCUUCGAGGUCGGCAACCCUAGCGCCGCCGCCGACUCGCCCGCGUCAAGCGUCCUUGCCGCCCGCCCAGCCUAUCGCCGCCGGCGGCUCACCCGCAUCCUUGCCACCCUGCUUCCAUCCCCUUCGUCACCCUGCCGUCGCCCUCCCCAUGCACGCCUCUACACAGCGCCGCCGCCCCCAAAUCUUGUACUCGUAGAGCCGGACGCCACCAAAUCUCGUACUCGCGCUGCCCCACCCACACCUCCGAGACACGCCGCCGCCAAUCCCCAUCCACACUGCACCGGCAUCCAUCACCCUGAGCCGCCGCCUCCCAUCCCCAUCUCCUUCCACGCCGCACCAGCAUCCCCAGUCCAGCGCCGCCACCCCAUUCCCCAAUCCCUAUCCCCGCCCCUGCUUCGCCUCACAGUGCAGCCCGGUGUGACAGCUCCUCUGUUCGUUCGUGCUACCACCUGGUGCAAUUGCCACUGCUGUUCGUCUGUUGCUGCUGCUCCUCUGUUCUGCCCUCUGCCACGGCUUCAACUUGUGUUCGUCAACUGAAGCAGCAGCAGCAGCAGCAACAGCUAGCCUCAGUCGCACAUAGAGGCUGCAACUGAGCUCUUUUCUCUGUUUGUGGUCGGUCUUUACAGGUUAACCAGCCUAAACUGAUCUUGAAAGACAAGUUUUGAGAUCAAAGUUGGCAAGGGAAGAAGUAUCAAGCUGCAACCAUCAAUAACCGAAGAAGUGCCCUUGCAGCCUUUUGCAAGGGUCGAAAUUUAGUACAAGCAAACCGUAAUGGACAAGAGUUUCAAAAUGAUGAGGUUGAAGAUGAGGACAUAUUUGAGAUUGGGGUGUUCGUAAAGUUAUGCAGAAGCAACCAUGGCAGCCCAUAGCAGUUCCCACAGCUAGAAGGUCACCAGCAUAAUGCCUUUGCAUUCACAAGUUUCAAGAGGUGUGUUUGGUGAGGCUAAAAGGAUCUUAUGCUGGGAUAUGUUUCUACCUAAAACCUAUUUUGCACUUUUGUCUAUGAUGUAAUACUUUGACUUAUGAACCUACAACUGUAUGCAUUUAGACCUGAUGGAUGGUUGUGCUUUUGGCUGUCCUGGACUUGUGAACCUAUAUAUGUAUGGAUUAUGUAUGGAUGGAGACUUGUGAAUCUAUGGAUGAUGGAUUGCUCAUAA